rnacentral:rRNA from 1 species
AACGAACGCUGGCGGCAGGCCUAACACAUGCAAGUCGAACGCAUCGCAAGAUGAGUGGCGCACGGGUGAGUAACACGUGGGAAUGUAUCCUUUGGUUCGGAAUAACGUUUGGAAACGGACGCUAAUACCGGAUGAGCCCUUAGGGGGAAAGAUUUAUCGCCGAAGGAGCAGCCCGCGUCUGAUUAGGUAGUUGGUGGGGUAAAGGCCUACCAAGCCGACGAUCAGUAGCUGGUCUGAGAGGAUGAUCAGCCACACUGGGACUGAGACACGGCCCAGACUCCUACGGGAGGCAGCAGUGGGGAAUAUUGGACAAUGGGCGCAAGCCUGAUCCAGCCAUGCCGCGUGAGUGAUGAAGGCCUUCGGGUUGUAAAGCUCUUUCGCACACGACGAUGAUGACGGUAGUGUGAGAAGAAGCCCCGGCUAACUUCGUGCCAGCAGCCGCCGCCGUAA